CCUACGGGUGGCAGCAGUGAGGAAUAUUGGUCAAUGGGCGCGAGCCUGAUCCAGCCAAGUAGCGUGAAGGAUGACUGCCCUACGGGUUGUAAACUUUUUCUAUAAAGGAAUAAAGUGAGGUACGUGUGCCUUUUUCUAUGUACUUUAUGAAUAAGGAUCGGCUAACUACGCGCCAGCAGCCGCGGUAAUACGGAGGGUCCGAGCGUUAUCCGGAUUUAUUGGGUUUAAAGGGAGCGUAGAUGGGUUGUUAAGUCAGUUGUGAAAGUUUGCGGCUCAACCGUAAAAUUGCAAUUGAUACUGGCAGGCUUGAGUACAGUUGAGGUAGGCGGAAUUCGUGGUGUAGCGGUGAAAUGCUGAGAUAUCAGGAAGAACUCCGGUUGCGAAGGCAGCUUACUAAACUGCCACUGACAUUGAUGCUCGAAAGUGUGGGUAGCAAACAGGAUUAGAUACCCGAGUAGUC
rnacentral:rRNA from 1 species